GUGGAUUAGAUACCCUGGUAGUCCACGCCCUAAACGAUGAACACUCGAUGUUGGCGAUAUACGGUCAGCGUCUAAGCGAAAGCGUUAAGUGUUCCACCUGGGGAGUACGCCCGCAAGGGUGAAACUCAAAGGAAUUGACGGGGGCCCGCACAAGCGGAGGAGCAUGUGGUUUAAUUCGAUGAUACGCGAGGAACCUUACCCGGGCUUGAAAGUUAGUGAAUAGAGCAGAGACGUUCUAGUCCUUCGGGACACGAAACGAGGUGCUGCACGGUUGUCGCCAACU
rnacentral:rRNA from 1 species